rnacentral:rRNA from 1 species
AACCAGAAGGCGCAAUGAAAGUGAAGGCACGGCCGCCGUGCUGAGGUGAGAGCUGUCGAUGGCAGCACAUCAUCGACCGAUCCCAUCCGCACUCCAGUGGUGUGGUAGGAUUCGAGUAAGAGUGUACCUGUUGCGACCCGAAAGAUGGUGAACUAUGCCUGAAUAGGGUGAAGCCAGAGGAAACUCUGGUGGAGGCCCGUAGCGAUUCUGACGUGCAAAUCGAUCGUCAAAUUUGGGUAUAGGGGCGAAAGACUAAUCGAACCAUCUAGUAGCUGGUUCCCUCCGAAGUUUCCCUCAGGAUAGCUGUAGCCCGAAGCAGUUUUAUCAGGUAAAGCGAAUGAUUAGAGGUAUCGGGGAAGAAACUUCCUCGACCUAUUCUCAAACUUUAAAUAGGUAAGAAGUCCAACUUGCUCAAUUUGAAGCUGGACACAGAAUGCUGGGUUACUAGUGGGCCAUUUUUGGUAAGCAGAACUGGCGAUGCGGGAUGAACCGAACGCCGAGUUAAGGUGCCAAAGUCGACGCUCAUCAGAUCCCACAAA